GCCGCCGCCGGAUCUGUUCCCACAGCUGGACGUGACGCGCAAGAUCACCUCCAUCGCGUUGUCGUCCCGCCUCGGCCGCGCUCUGCCCGUUGUUCAUCGAGCAAUUCACCGGCGGCGAACAUCCGACAGAUGCACGUCAAGAGCAAAAGGGGAUCGAUGAUCGAUGAUGGCCAUGUAUAGGUGGCUACAGGAACCAGUGGAGGAGAUGGUUUGCAAGUGUCUCCUGGUGCUCCUGAAUUCUUGCUUGGAAGACUCCUUCACACACUUUGCUGGGCAGCGGCCAUAUAGCGCGAGGAGGCAGCGGCCCGGCAGGCCACGGCCCGCUGCAGGGCGCCCAAAGUAAAAGCCUAUUUGUCUCUACCGGAGGGAUCGUCGACUGCAGCAGGGCUAAUUGCGAUGAUGACUGACCACUACAAUAUUCUGCCGGCUUUUGUGUGCCUUUCAUCUCCGACAAGAAGAGUCCGAUGCAUGGGAUUUGGAGUCUGCAUCAACCUCCGCCUGUAAAACCAUGUAGCAUGGUGAUUAGUUUUUUUGUUUCAGUUCAUAUUAUAUUCAAAGCUACCAGCUAGAUUAUUUAGUAGCUAUGCAUACUUGUUGGUGCAUGUAGAUUUAAGGUGCUUGGAUAUGCUCUAAUAUUGACACUGCAAAUGCCGGACAGACACCUGAUGAUAGGAUAAGUUGGUGCUUGGAUGUAACCAUGUUGAUCGGAUGUACUGUGAUGUUGCUGAUUGAGAUGUCGGCCAGACACCUAAUGGACAUGAAAGCUUGGUGCUCAAUAUUCAUUAUUCAGAUGCUGGACAGACACCUGAUGGCUAGACUAGCAUGAUGCUUGGAUGUGCUUUUAUAUUUUUGAUUCAAAUGUUAGGAUAAAUAUCUAUGUUAACAGGUUGAUGAUGUACUUGCUAUCGGAUGCGUUGGUUUUGAUUGAA